rnacentral:rRNA from 1 species
AUUGAACGCUGGCGGCAUGCCUUACACAUGCAAGUCGAACGGCAGCGGGGACUUCGGUCCGCCGGCGAGUGGCGAACGGGUGAGUAAUGUAUCGGAACGUACCUUUCAGUGGGGGAUAACGUAGCGAAAGUUACGCUAAUACCGCAUAUUCUCUGAGGAGGAAAGCAGGGGACCUUCGGGCCUUGUGCUGAUGGAGCGGCCGAUAUCAGAUUAGCUAGUUGGUGAGGUAAAGGCUCACCAAGGCGACGAUCUGUAGCGGGUCUGAGAGGAUGAUCCGCCACACUGGGACUGAGACACGGCCCAGACUCCUACGGGAGGCAGCAGUGGGGAAUUUUGGACAAUGGGCGCAAGCCUGAUCCAGCCAUGCCGCGUGAGUGAAGAAGGCCUUCGGGUUGUAAAGCUCUUUCGGACGGGAAGAAAUUGGUGGGGCUAAUAUCCCCCUCGGAUGACGGUACCGUAAUAAGAAGCACCGGCUAACUACGUGCCAGCCGCCGCAGUAAGAC